rnacentral:rRNA from 1 species
UGAAUACGAGACGCUAAGGCGUUGAAGUAGUGUAUGUCAUACUUCCAAGAAAAGCUUGCACUGUCAUAGAUAAAAAACGCCUGUACCAUAACCGACACAGGUGGGUAGGUAGAGUAUACUAAGGGGCGCGAGAUAACUCUCUCUAAGGAACUCGGCAAAAUAACUCCGUAACUUCGGGAGAAGGAGUGCCUUAUUUAUAAGGCUGCAAUAACAAGAUCCAAGCAACUGUUUAUCAAAAACACAGGUCUCCGCUAAGUCGUAAGACGAUGUAUGGGGGCUGACGCCUGCCCAGUGCCAGAAGGUUAAAGAAGUUGGUUAGCAAUAGCGAAGCUGAUAACUGAAGCCCUGGUGAACGGCGGCCGUAACUAUAACGGUCCUAAGGUAGCGAAAUUCCUUGUCGGGUAAGUUCCGACCCGCACGAAAGGCGUAAUGAUUUGGAUACUGUCUCGGAGAGGGGCUCGGUGAAAUAGACUUGUCUGUGAAGAUGCGGACUACCUGCACCAGGACAGAAAGACCCUAUGAAGCUUUACUGUAACUUGAAAUUGAAAUUGGACUUUAUUCGCGCAGUAUAGGUGGGAGGCGUUGAUUGUAAUCUUGCGGGAUUAUUGGAGCCAUCAGUGAGAUACCACCCUUGUAAUGUUAGAUUUCUAACUUUGAAUCAUUAUCUGGUCAAAGAACAGUUUCAGGCGGGCAGUUUGACUGGGGCGGUCGCCUCCUAAACGGUAACGGAGGCGUACAAAGGUUCCCUCUGAACGGUUAGAAAUCGUAUCUAGAGUGUAAAGGCAUAAGGAAGCUUGACUGUGAGACCUACAAGUCGAGCAGGGACGAAAGUCGGUCUUAGUGAUCUGACGGUACUGAGUGGAAAGGCCGUCACUCAACGGAUAAAAGUUACUCUAGGAUAACAGGCUGAUCUCCCCCAAGAGUUCACAUCGACGGGGAGGUUUGGCACCUCGAUGUCGGCUCAUCGCACCCUGGGGCGGUAGUACGUCCCAAGGGUUGGGCUGUUCGCCCAUGAAAGCGGUACGCGAGCUGGGUUCAGAACGUCGUGAGACAGUUCGGUCCAUAUCCGGUGUAGGCGUUAGAAUAUUGAGAGGAGCCUUCUUUAGUACGAGAGGACCGAGAAGGACAUACCUCUGGUGUACCAGUUAUCGUGCCAACGGUAAACGCUGGGUAGCUAUGUAUGGAGUGGAUAACCGCUGAAAGCAUCUAAGUGGGAAGCCCACCUCAAGAUAAGUAUUCUCAC